AUGGUGCACGGAACGCUGGAGGUGCUGCUCGUCGGCGCCAAGGGCCUCGAGAACACCGAUUUCCUGUGCAAUAUGGACCCGUACGCACUUCUCAAAUGCCGCUCGCAGGAGCAGAGGAGCAGUAUCGCGUCAGGCAAAGGUAGUAACCCUGAAUGGAACGAAAGCUUUGUCUUCACCGUGUCAGACCAAGCUACGGAGCUGGUGAUUAAGCUUAUGGACAGCGACUCGGGCACAUCGGACGACUUCGUUGGUGAAGCAACGAUUCCUUUGGAAGCAGUUUAUACGGAAGGGAGCAUUCCACCAACAGUUUAUAAUGUUGUGAAAGGUGAACACUACUGCGGAGAAAUCAAAGUUGGUCUCACAUUCACUCCCGAGGAUGGUCGCCAGCGCGGUCUCCCCGAAGACUUUGGUGGCUGGAAACAAUCGCAUUGA
rnacentral:rRNA from 1 species